GAUGAACGCUAGCUACAGGCUUAACACAUGCAAGUCGAGGGGUAACAAGAGAAAAGCUUGCUUUUCUUGUUGACGACCGGCGCACGGGUGAGUAACGCGUAUCCAACCUGCCUAUAACUAGGGAAUAACCUUGCGAAAGUAAGACUAAUACCCUAUGAUUUCCUUUGAUGACAUCAGAUUAGGAAUAAAGAUUUAUCGGUUAUAGAUGGGGAUGCGUCUGAUUAGCUUGUUGGCGGGGUAACGGCCCACCAAGGCAAAGAUCAGUAGGGGUUCUGAGAGGAAGGUCCCCCACAGUGGAACUGAGACACGGUCCAAACUCCUACGGGAGGCAGCAAUGAGGAAUAUUGGUCAAUGGGCGGAAGCCUGAACCAGCCAAGUAGCGUGCAGGAUGACGGCCCUAUGGGUUGUAAACUGCUUUUAUACAGGAAUAAAGUUAGCCACGUGUGGUUAUUUGUAGGUACUGUAUGAAUAAGGACCGGCUAAUUCCGUGCCAGCAGCCGCCGUAA
rnacentral:rRNA from 1 species